UUCGGGGGUCACAGUUGAAGAGAGGGAAGGCAAAGACAAUGUCUAAGGCACCCUCUCCACCUAACUUAAGCUAGUUGCAUGAUUUAGUCAUGAUUUUCCUAAUUUCUAACCAAGAGAUGUAUCGCAUUUGGAUGCAACUAAUACGAAUGCAAUCCUAAACCUAAUGAGGAAUCGAAAGGGACAGAUAUCUCUUAGAGGCUCGAUCGGACUAAAUCACAUGAGUUGUGAUAGCCAAGGGUAAGCCCUCCAAGAGGUCACGAGUAAUGCUAAUGAUGAAAAAAUGAAUGGAAUGAAUGUAUGCAAUGUGAAAACAUGAGCUUAUGUGAAGUGAAAAAAGUAAUAAUAAAAAUAAAAAUAAUAGUGUGUAAGUGGGAGUGUGCAAAUGGGGGUGCAAGGUGAGGUAUGUAAAGUGAUAGUGUGAAGUGCAUGUGUGCUCAGUUGUAGUAUGUAAAGUGCUAGUGGUAGAGUGAGAAUGUGUAAGAUAAGAGUGGUGUGAAGUGAAAAUGUGGAAAAAGUAAUAGUAUAUGACGUGAGAGUGCAAAGUGAUAGUGGGUAAAUGAAAUGCAUGAACCCUAGAGGAAUGCAAGCAAGACGGGUACGGGGAAACCCUAAAUCGUGACUUUUGCUUUUCCUUUUGGUUAGAAAAAGAAUGAGCGUGCUAAGGCUAUGUGUAGCCACACUCGUCCAUCCCCCUUACCAAAAGAGUAACUCCCUAACCUAAUCAAGCGAAUGACCUUAAUGACUAGAAUGAAAUGCAAAAUCCUAAGAUCAUACUUUGAAUGUGGGAAAAAGGGAAAGUAUCAUGCAAAAAUGUAAAAAGUACUAAAAAAAAUGCAUGAAGAUGUCGUGAGGGCAUGCAAGUAUGUACUAGCGAGGGACGGCCCUAUUGGGUCUAGCAUUGGACUAGCCCUUUACUAACGCUCUCUCACAAGCAUUGGACUUGUGAGCGAUCGGGAAUAAGUAACCAUGACUAGCAUUGGACUAGCCACGGUUAUAUCGUACAUUUGCAUUCACCAUAUACACAAGUAAAUGGGCAUAGUUAAAGCAAGUAGGCAUGUGAGCACGUAAUUCACAUAACACAUAAGCAUGCAUGUCUAGAUGCUAAAUCCUAGGAAAGCGGUAACACAUAGCAAGUAAGCAUGCAAAUCACGCAAGGCAAAUAAAGCAAAGAAGCCCUAUCUAUUACAUUGUGGAGGGCCUACUACAAUCUAAGAGGGGGAAAUGAAAUAAAUAAUUAAAAUAAAUACCUAACUAUUACAAAUUUGGAAUUCAAGUGCUUUUCGAAUGAUCAAAAUUGAACUAAAAUAAAUAUAUAAAAUUAAAGCCAAUAAAACAAAUAAAAACACUCAAGAGGCAUGCAAUUACACACGUAGAGUCACAUAGGGCAUGUAGAGUCAAAUAAAGUAAGAAAUAAGGGAUAGAGUGUACCUCCCUUGAGUUGGGGCCCUAAUGGAGUGAAAUUACUUAUUUACCCUCCAAAAUAAAAGAAAAGGGUCAAGGCAUCACUUUAGUUAACAAAUAAUCACAAAAGAUAAAAAUAAACAUGAAAUUGAAUCAGUUAAAUCAUGUAAACAACCCACAUUGAAGAAAUUAAAACAAGCAAGGACUUAAUUACAAAAAUUAACAAAGUUUUGGUGCCAAAAUUAAAGAAAAAUAAAGUUUAGGGGCUUAUUUACAAUUAAAUUAAAGAUCCAAUUGAAAGAGAACUAAAGUUUUUAGUGCCUUAGUACAAUUAUUCAAAAGUCCAGGGACUGAUUUGAAAUUUCAUUGCCAGAUCACUUAAAGAAUUGGGCCAUCGGGCCAGCUUUCUUAUUUCCUUGGGCUAAAGCCUCCCAAGCCCAAACGAAAGUCCAAAGCAAAAGGAGCGGGCCAGUCUAUUAUUUUUUAACCCAAAAUUUGCCAACAAAACUGAUGGGCCUUGACUCUAUAACCCAAACCAAAAACCCAAAAGAAAAUAAACUAAAUCCACAUUUACAAAUCCAAUCAAAUAUAAUUAUCCACAAACCUAAACCAUAAUACUAAACCCAACAACAUAAACAAAUCAACAAAAAAUAUUAAGCCACAAUUAUGAACUAAAUUCCAGAAUUAAUCUAUCCAAAAAGUCACAUAAAAUAUGCAAACAGAGGAUUAAGCUUAAAAGGGUGAAAUUAGUUUGAUUUUUACAGAUUUUGGGCAACAGUGAAUUUCGGCAAAAAUUAAGGGGUUAAAUUGCAAUUUUCAGAACUUCAUUCAUGAAUUGCAGGAGAUUUCUUCUUCGAUGCAACUGAAAGUGAAAAAUUUCUGCAAACUUCUAAUGCUUCCAAAAAUCUAUACGGCCAACAUACCAUACUAAUGCAGGAUACAAAGGGCAACGAUAGCGAAAGACAACUCAAAAAAUUAUUUAGCUUCUCUCCCCUCCCCAACUAGUGAAACGCACAGAUUCUGGCCAGCUUUGGACUGGCCAGAUUUCAUCCUGAACGCAUGCAAAAAAAGGGAUAAAAUCUCCUCUUUUUGGUUCAAAAUUUCCAUUCGGGCGUUUCGUCUAACAUUACACGGGCAUUAAAAAAUCCGCAAAUCUUUUGCCAAUUAACAUCAUAAUCAACCCAGAAAUUGUUCAGAAAACCAAGAUUUCAGUCCAAUUUACGUAUGCAGCAUGUACAUUCAAAAAUUGAGGUCAAUUGGCAGAAAAAUUGCACUAGAUGAAGCCACGGCAGUCCCAUUUCAAAAACUGGACAAGAACUGAAAAUUUUUUUAAGAGAAAAAGAAACUUACAAUGCUCUUGUUCGGUGAUGAUGGUUUAUUCCGGUGGUGGCAGUGGUGGAUUCCGACGAAUUGGCGGCAGUUCUGGCUCUCCCUCUGUCGAAAACCGCCCCUUCUCCUCUUUUUUUUUUCUUUGUCCCCUGUUUUUCUUGCCCGUAGGUUCCUUGUCCGCCGCCCCUAGAAGAAGCUCGCUGUUUUUUCUUAGCUUUUUCCCCCCCUCCGAAAAACUCCUCUCUGAUUUUUCCAAAUUUUUGCUCCCUCCGUAGCUCUCUCAAUUUUCUCAAUUGCUCUCUUUUCUUUGCCGAAGCCCCCCCUUUUUUGUUUCCUUUUUCUCGCUCUAUUUUCUUUACCCGCCGUCCGCCGCCUCUUUUUGCUUGCCUCUGGUUUUCCUCUCAGCCUCCAAAAGCUUCCUCCAGCCUCUGCCUCUUGCGUCUUUUUUAAGUCCGUUUUUCCUUUUUCUUGCUCCAGCCCCCUUUUUCGUGGCUUUUUCUUCUUUUUCCUUUUCAGUCCG
rnacentral:lncRNA from 1 species